rnacentral:rRNA from 1 species
UACGGAGGGGGCUAGCGUUGUUCGGAAUUACUGGGCGUAAAGGGCGCGUAGGCGGUGUGUCAAGUCAGGCGUGAAAGCCCCGGGCUCAACCUGGGAACAGCGCUUGAGACUGGCACGCUCGAGUUCGGGAGAGGAUGGUGGAAUUCCCAGUGUAGAGGUGAAAUUCGUAGAUAUUGGGAAGAACACCGAUGGCGAAGGCAGCCAUCUGGACCGACACUGACGCUGAGGCGCGGAAAGCGUGGGGAGCAAACAGG